rfam:Heterorhabditis bacteriophora unplaced genomic scaffold Scaffold326, whole genome shotgun sequence.
GUUGUUUCCGUAAAGCACCGCGGUUUCUGUGGUGUCUCGUGCUCUCUGAACGGCCCUUGAAAAACCGAGGGAGGCUAUUAAUCUAUGCUGCAUCGUACCGAUAUCCGCAUCAGGUCCUCAAGGUGAACAGCCUCUAGUCGAUAGAAUAAUGUAGGUAAGGGAAGUCGGCAAAUUAGAUCCGUAACUUCGGGAAAAGGAUUGGCUCCUAGUGAUCGGGUCGGUUGGCCUGUUCACUGAUACUUGUAUGGUUUCGUUCGUGGCUGGCUGAUGCUAACGCUGAUGUCGGACUAGUGAUGAGACAGUCUUGUGGACGUUUAUAGGUGUGUGCUUUGCUUUCGAGCUUAGUAUCCUGACCGGCCAUUAAAACGGUCGAACUGGAACUGGUACGGACUCGGGGAAUCCGACUGUCUAAUUAAAACAGAGGAGACAGAUGGUCCUUGCGGACGUUUACUGUCUCUGAUUUCUGCCCAGUGCUCUGAAUGUUAAAUCGUAGUAAUUCGAGUAAGCGCGGGUAAACGGUCGGGAGUAACUAUGACUCUCUUAAGGUAGCCAAAUGCCUCGUCAUCUAAUUAGUGACGCGCAUGAAUGGAUUAACGAGAUUCCCACUGUCCCUAACUACUAUCUAGCGAAACCACAGCCAAGGGAACGGGCUUGGUAAAAAUAGCGGGGAAAGAAGACCCUGUUGAGCUUGACUCUAGUUUGACAUUGUGAAGAGUCAUGAGAGGUGUAGCAUAGGUGGGAGACUUAUGUCGCCAAUGAAAUACCACCACUUUCAUCGAUUCUUUACUUAUUCGGUAAUGUGAGGAUUGGGCCAUCGGCUCUUUCUUCUUUGUGUUAAGUAGAAGUCACCUGGUGACAUUACGACUCCCGUCGAAGACAAUGUCAGGCGGGAGUUUGACUGGGGCGGUACAUCUGUCAAAUCGUAACGCAGGUGUCCUAAGGCUAGCUCAGAGAGGACGGAAACCUCUCGUAGAGCAAAAGGGCAAAAGCUCGCUUGAUCUUGACUUUCAGUACGAGUACAGACCGCGAAAGCGUGGCCUAUCGAUCCUUUUAAUCCAGAUAGUUUCUGGUAAGAGGUGUCAGAAAAGUUACCACAGGGAUAACUGGCUUGUGGCAGCCAAGCGUCCAUAG